rnacentral:rRNA from 1 species
GACAGAGGUGGCAAGCGUUGUUCGGAAUUACUGGGCUUAAAGGGCGCGUAGGGGGUGGCGUAAGUCCGGGGUGGAAGGCUGAGGCUUAACCUCAGGAUUGCCCUGGAAACUGCAUCACUUGAGUCAGCAAGGGGAUGGCGGAAUUCCUGGUGUAGCGGUGAAAUGCGUAGAUAUCAGGAGGAAGGCCGGUGGCGAAGGCGGCCAUCUGGUGCUGAACUGACGCUGAGGCGCGAAAGCGUGGGGAGCAAACAGGAUUAGAUACCCUGGUAGUCCACGCCCUAAACGGUGGAUACUAGGUGUGGGGCUCGUAAGGGUUCCGUGCCGAAGGGAAACCAUUAAGUAUCCCGCCUGGGGAGUACGGCCGCAAGGUUGAAACUUAAAUGAAUUGACGG